rnacentral:rRNA from 1 species
AGGGUUCGAUUCUGGCUCAGGAUGAACGCUUGCGGCAGGCUUAACACAUGCAAGUCGAGGGGUAACAGAGAGUGCUUGCCCUUUGCUGACGACCGGCGCACGGGUGCGUAACGCGUAUGCAACCUACCUUCUACUGGGGGAUAGUCAAUACAAAUGUUGAAUAAUACCCCAUACGAUCUUCAAGAGGCAUUACUUGAAGAAGAAAGCUCCGGCGGUAGAAGAUGGGCAUGCGUCCUAUUAGUUAGUUGGUGAGGUAACGGCUCACCAAGACCACGAUAGGUAGGGGCCCUGAGAGGGGGAUCCCCCACACUGGUACUGAGACACGGACCAGACUCCUACGGGAGGCAGCAGUGAGGAAUAUUGGACAAUGGAGGCAACUCUGAUCCAGCCAUGCCGCGUGCAGGAAGACUGCCCUAUGGGUUGUAAACUGCUUUUAUACAAGAAGAAACCUACUUACGUGUAAGUAGCUGACGGUACUGUAAGAAUAAGGAUCGGCUAACUCCGUGCCAGCCGCCGCGGUAAUAC